AAUGACAUUUCAAAUUUGCCGCGCUUCGCGCGUCUAUGAAUUGUCCGUGGAUGUCGACCGAGGUGACGCGUGAUGUAAUGGCGGAGAAUAUAACAUUGUUUUGUGCAUUUUUAAAGUUAAAAACCUUAUAAAAAGAAUAUUACUGAGGAUAUUAGUGUACUUUUAAAUGUCGUUUCUUUGAUAUUUCAGGUGAGUUAUAUGCCAUGAUUGUUGUAAUAGUGAACCUAAAUUAUUAUAUUUACCUAAAUAAAACCAAACUUUGAUAUUUCAGAGAAACAAAUUUGGUUCAUUUUUGAAUAUCCUCAUCAAUCCACCUUAUAAAACGACAUUUAUUGUUAACUAAAAGGAGAUGGACCGGCUGCAAUUUGAGUUUACGAUGAUAGCCUCAAAUGAUGGCAAAUCUAAUGUAUUAGCCAUAACCUCAAUAUCUACAGAAGAAGGAAAAUGUUAUGUUUUACCUGAUGAGCUGAAGCCGGUGACUCAUCAUACAUAUAUUGUCAAGAUGAAUACCUUCUCAAAAAUAAAAAAUAGUAUAAAGAAAAGGCAUCAAAGUAGAAAAAUAUGGAUAAAGUUGGAUGAAGAUCAAAAGAAAACAUACGUUGAUGACGAAGGUAAUAUGCAAUUUUUAGACAUAUAUUUAGAAGAAAUGAGCUCAAAACAACCAAAAGAUAAAGAUGAUAAUUUGCAACAUAUCUUGGAAAAAUUAAUAGAAACUACAACGAAGAAAGAAAAUCAACAUAACCUAAAAAAUGUUUCAGAGAAAUUUGUUCUUGAAAAAUUCACAAGCAAGAAUCCUAAUGCAAUGCAAUGGAUAGAGAACUUUGAAAAAGAGUGUGAGCGAUUUAAUAUAACAAAAGAUGAAACCAAAAUAGACAUAUUAAGGUUAUUUUUAGAAACAUCUUGUUUGGAUUGGUAUAGCUCGAUGGUCAUAAAACUAACAAUAAAUUCUGAAUGGAAUGAAUGGAAAAACAAAUUUCUAGAAACUUUUAAAAACCAAGGAUGGGACAUAGUUAUGAAUGCUCUCGCAUUCAGGUAUAAAGAGGGACUGUUAAUUGAUUAUGCUAUAAGAAAAGAACGGCUUAUACUAGAUAUAAACAAAUCAAUAGACUCCAAAACAAUGAUAGAUCUUAUUGCGACAGGUUUACCUGGGUUUAUCUUAAAUAAGUUAAACAGGGACGAUCUUAAUGACACAACUGAUUUGUUCAACGAGAUAAGGAAACAUGAAGGUAUGAUGUACAAGAAAAACUCAACUAUAAUAAAGAGUAGUACACUCCGUUAUAAAAAUAAAACUAAUGAGAAGAAGCCAUGUAAGACUUGUGAAUCUUUGGACAAAGGAAUCAGAUAUCAUCCGGAGGAGUCAUGUUGGUUCAAGAAAAAUAAAUCUGAAAAGAAAAAUGAAUCUGAAAAGGGCUUUAAAGCCAGAAAUGUGAAUAAUAACUCAAUUAUUGAAGUAGAUAUAAAUACUGAAAAAAAAAACGAGUAAGUACACCAUUAAUCAGAAUCAAGCUUUUAUUAGAAAAUAAACUAGAAGUGAGUGGAAUUUAUGAUUCAGGCUCACAGAUCUCUUUAAUAAAUUCAAGACUGAUUAAAUUAAAAAAAAAAAAAGACAAUGUGAAUGUAGCAUAUAUGAAAACGGUUAAUGGUGUAAAGAAGACGGAUGGCUUGAUUACAAUAAAAAUAAAAAUAUUUGAUUUAGAAGAAGAGAUGGAUAUAUAUAUAGUGGAAAAUGAAGAUUUUGAUGAUUUUAUAAUAGGAUUGGAUAUUAUAAAAAAAUUCAAAUUAACCCAAAAUGAAGACUUGCAAAUAGAACAAAAAACAACAAAUAUACAGGACAGGACGUCUAAAACUAACAUAAAUGAAGAAAAUAAUAGAAAAAUAUUUACAAUAAAUUUCAAUGAACACAUAGAAACAGAGGAAUUUGUAAGUACAAUAGACCAUUUAGAUGAGAAAAAAAAGAAUGAAAUAGAGAAAAUUAUAAAGGAGUACAAAACAAUUUUUGCUAAGGACAAGUAUGAUGUAGGAUCAGUUAAAGAUUACGAAGCUCACAUAGACUUACUAGUAAAUACAUAUUGUAGCAAAAGACCAUACAGAUGUACAAUAGAAGAUAAAUUAGAAAUUGAAGAGCAAAUAUCCAUGUUAUUAAAGAAUAAUUUAAUAGAAGAAUCUUACAGUCCUUUCGCUGCUCCAGUGACAUUGGCAUUUAAAAGAGGUGAAAAUAGAAAAUCCCGCUUAUGUGUAGAUUUCAGAGAAUUAAACAAAAUUAUUAUACCACAAGCUCAACCUUUCCCGUUAAUAGAUGAUUUGAUUAUUAAAACUAGAAAUUGUAAGUUUUUUACUACACUGGAUAUAAACUCAGCAUUCUGGGCAAUACCGCUACGGGUGGAAGAUAGAAGUAAAACAGGAUUUGUCACACAAGAUGGGCAUUUCCAGUGGACUUGCCUCCCUUUUGGCUUGAAAACAUCGCCAGCAAUUUUUCAGAGAAUUUUAAGCAAUAUUCUAAGAAAGCACUAUCUCACAGGAUACUCUGUAAACUAUAUUGAUGAUAUUUUGAUAUACUCGUCCACCUUUGAAGAACAUAUAAGACACAUAAGAAAUGUAUUAGAGGCAAUAAUAAAAGAAGGCUUUCGAUUGAAGUUUAAGAAAUGUACCUUUGCAUCAGACUCGGUGAAGUAUCUCGGUCAUAUAAUUCAGAAUAAUUCAGUAAGACCAUUAAAAGACAAUUUGAUUUCAAUAAAACAUUUUCCAACUCCUAAGACGCAAAAGAAUAUCAGACAAUUUUUGGGAAAAAUCAACUUCUACCAUGAAUACAUACCAAGAAGCGCAAUUAUCUUAGACCCAUUACAUAACCUAUUGAGAAAAAACGAAAAGUUCAUUUGGUCAGAGAAGUGCGAAGAAUCAUUUAAUAAAAUAAAAAAAUAUUUAUGUUCUCAACCUGUGCUGGAAAUAUUUGACAAAGACUUACCAAUAAAAAUCUUUACAGAUGCGUCUUUAGAGGGUGUUGGGGCUAUAUUAAAACAGACACAACUAGACGGUAAAGACAAACCAGUGGCAUAUUUCUCAAAAAAACUGAAUGAAUCACAAAAACGAAAAAAGGCUAUAUAUCUGGAAUGUUUUGCUAUGAAAGAAGCUGUUAAAUAUUGGCAACACUGGCUCAUUGGAAAACAGUUCACUAUUUACUCAGACCAUAAACCUCUAGAGAACAUGAAUAUUAAAUGCAGGACAGAUGAAGAACUGGGUGACCUUACAUAUUACCUAUCUCAAUACGACUUUACAGUAAAAUAUAUACCUGGUAAAGAAAAUGUAGAAGCAGACUGUCUGAGCCGAAACCCUGUAUUAGAAUCAGAAGAGAACAAAGAGGACCUAUUGAAAAUAGUUAAUUUAAUACAAAUAAAUGAUAUUGUUAAAGACCAAGAGAAAAAUGAAACAAUAAAAGAAAAAAAACAAAAUCUAAUACACAAAAAUGAAAUUUAUUACAAAAAAAUAAAGAAACAUGAAAAGAUUAUCCUCUCAGAAGAAUUUAGUAAAAAACUUAUAAAAAAGGUGCAUGAAGAUUUAUGCCAUAUUGGGAUCAGACAAUUGCAGAAAAAAAUAAGUCCAAUAUAUACAGCUAAAAACCUUACAAAAAACAUCAUAAACAUUUGUAAAACAUGUGAAAUAUGCAUAAAAAAUAAAUCAAGAUGUCAAGGAAAAUUUGGAUUAAUGUCACAAUUGGGACCAGCAACAAAACCAUUUGAGAUAAUGUCAAUGGAUACCAUCGGUGGCUUUGGGGGAUCUAGGUCAACAAAGAAAUACCUACACCUUUUAGUAGACCACUACACAAGAUAUGCAUUUAUUGUGACCUCAAAAACACAGAAUGCGAGUGACUUUAUAAAACUAACAAAGAAAGUACUAGAGACAGAUGAGAUUGGAAUAAUUCUGACAGAUCAAUAUCCGGGCAUCAAUUCAAAAGAAUUUAAACAAUAUUUGCAAGAGAAUAAUAUUAAACUAAUUUUUACAGCUGUGAAUACACCAUUCUCAAACGGUUUGAAUGAAAGACUAAAUCAAACCAUAGUAAAUAAAAUAAGAUGUAAAAUAAAUGAGAAAAAUAAUAAGAGAACAUGGACAACAGUAGCAAGAGAAUGUAUACAGAAAUAUAAUGAGACAGAACACUCUGUUACAGGUUUUGCACCAAAAUAUUUACUGGAUGGUACAAAUGUCAGUAUUCUACCAAACGAAAUUAAAACAAUAGAAAAAGAAGAGAAGUGGAUUGCUGAUAAAAGAUUAGCAUUAGAGAAUACAAUCAAAUCCCAUAAGUACAACAAGAAAAUAUUUGAUAAAAAUAGAAAAAUGCAAGAGUUAGAUAUAGGAGACAGUGUAUAUGUAGAAAAUGGAAACAGACUAAAUAGAAAGAAAUUGGACGAAUUAAAAAUAGGCCCUUUCAAAAUAGUAGAGAAAAUAUCGAAGUCCAUUUAUAGGAUUGACAAUGGCAACAGAAAACCAGAAUCAACUUUAUUCCACAUAACCAAAUUACAACCUGUCACAACAGAAGCUGAAGAAGAUGAAGUAGAAGAAAACAGACAUCAAUAUAGUAUAUAGGUACAUUGUUAUUGUUAUUUAGUAUUUUCGAUCUUAAGGGGGGGAGAUGUAAUGAAAUGACAUUUCAAAUUUGCCGCGCUUCGCGCGUCUAUGAAUUGUCCGUGGAUGUCGACCGAGGUGACGCGUGAUGUAAUGGCGGAGAAUAUAACAUUGUUUUGUGCAUUUUUAAAGUUAAAAACCUUAUAAAAAGAAUAUUACUGAGGAUAUUAGUGUACUUUUAAAUGUCGUUUCUUUGAUAUUUCAGAGAAACAAAUUUGGUUCAUUUUUGAAUAUCCUCAUCAAUCCACCUUAUAUACUUAUAUAUAUUUUACACUUCCUGAACACACAACUCAACGUUGUAGACAAUAUUUGCAUAUUAUUUGUUUUAAAAGCUUUCAUUUGCAUAUGCAACUUUUUGAAAUUAAGACAAUUAUACACACAUUUGUUCUCUUCAGUUUUGAUGUGCUAGUGUCAUAUCUAAUAGUAUAAAAUCUUUGGUAUAUCACAAUAAAAUAUGUAAAACUUUGCUUAAAUUAGCUUUGCAAAAAUAUAUGUGCAUAAUCCUUAUUCAAGAAGAAAAAACUUAAACUUACAAAUCCACCAUUUGUCAACACUGCUUCAAUAAUACCAGCAUUGAAUGAUGCACAAUUCAAAGAGCCCUUGUCUUUGGGGACACUGAUGAAUUUGUUGACCUGUAAUUAAUAAAAUAUAAUAAAUAAUACAAUAAAACAAACAAUAAAUUAACUCAACUUAAAUACUAUUUAAGUUGAGUGGGAAGACUUCGGAAUCAAUGUUAAUGGUAAAAAACUUAACCAUCUCAGAUUCGCAGAUGACCUCGUACUAUUUGAAGAAGAUCCAAUCAAACUCGGGUGCAUGGUUUCGAAUCUACAUGAAGAGAGCAUUAAAAUCGGACUCAAAAUGAACACAAAGAAGACCAAACUAAUGACGAACAGUACUGAGGUCAACAUCGGCAUUGAUAACAACCCAUUAUUGUAUGUGCAAGAAUACACAUAUCUUGGACAAGUUGUUACCUUCAGGGACCAAAUGACUAAAGAAAUCACCACGAGAAUUGCCGUUGGCUGGAAAAGAUAUUGGUCCCUGAAGGAGAUAAUGAAAUCCAAGGAACUGAGCAUGGUAAUUAAGAGGAAGGCCUUCAACACGUGUAUCUUGCCAUGCCUAACAUACGGCUGUGAAACCUGGGCGCUCACCAUGGCUCAAAGGGCUAAACUGGCCAGGUGCCAACGAUCCAUGGAGAGGAGCAUGACUGGCCACAAGAAAAAGGAUAGGGUAAGAAACACUGACCUUCGAACUAAAACUGGGGUCACCGAUGUUUUAACUCGUGUCGACCAGCAAAAGUGGCGAUGGACAGGCCACAUGCUAAGGGACACUACGGGGAAGUGGAGCAGACUGGUGACGGAAUGGUACCCUAGAGAUGGCAGAAGGAAUCGGGGUAAACAGUUCAUUAGAUGGGAGGAUGACUUAAAGCUCACAGCAGGUCCAAAGUGGAGAAGGGUCGCAUUAGAGAGAGAGCAGUGGAAGUCGCUGGAGGAGGCCUAUGCCGAAAGGCACACUAUGUUAAGAGAUAUUCUUUAAAAAACAAAAUGUAUUGUAUAUAUAAUUGUAAUUUCUUAACACAGAAUAAAGGGCUUAUUAUUAUUA